GACGAACGCUGGCGGCGUGCUUAACACAUGCAAGUCGAACGGAAAGGCCUCUUUCGGGGGGUACUCGAGUGGCGAACGGGUGAGUAACACGUGAGUAACCUGCCCUUGACUUUGGGAUAACUUCAGGAAACUGGGGCUAAUACCGGAUAGGAGCUCCUGCUGCAUGGUGGGGGUUGGAAAGUUUCGGCGGUUGGGGAUGGACUCGCGGCUUAUCAGCUUGUUGGUGGGGUAGUGGCUUACCAAGGCUUUGACGGGUAGCCGGCCUGAGAGGGUGACCGGCCACAUUGGGACUGAGAUACGGCCCAGACUCCUACGGGAGGCAGCAGUGGGGAAUAUUGCACAAUGGGUGGAAGCCUGAUACAGCAACGCCGUGUGCGGGAUGACGGCCUUCGGGUUGUAAACCGCUUUCGCUCAUGACGAAGCUUUGUGUGACGGUAGUGGGUAAAGAAGCACCGGCUAACUACGUG
rnacentral:rRNA from 1 species